rnacentral:lncRNA from 1 species
AGGUAACCUACUCCAGAGAUCUAAGGCCUAGGAUAUGAUACCAACUGUAACACCUUGAACAUCGACCCUAUCUGGAAUAUUACUACACUAUGCAAAUAAAGCUAACUCCUAGGAAAAACUAGAAUUUUCGGCAAAGUCUCCGUUGUUUAUAAGGACAUCCACAACAGGCAAUUUAUAAUAUCUCUCAAAUAUAUCCAGCAACUAGAAAGUCAUGCACACCGUCUCAUAAUAAUUAAGUAGACUCCAAGGAAACUAAAUAGGAAGUCUCAAACAACUAACGUCUCCAACCAACAAAGGUAUAAGAAAGGGGUUCUCAACAUUGACUUUAUCUAGCAUUAAGAAUGAAACUAUCGCUCUGAUUGAUAACGUGUGUUGUGUGCUGUCCAGAUUUAGUGAUGCUACUCCCGCCCAUGCAUGCCAUUAUUCGGAAUACCUGGAAAACCAAAUAAAACAACAAGAGAGCAAGAGUGAGUAAUCCUUACUCAGCAAAGGACACAAUAUGGAGCCAUAAUAACAGCAUACAUUACAUGAAAGCACACUCCAAAUAAAAACCAUAAAACUCUUUUAUAAUCUUUGUACUUUUUGGUUGGAGCAUUCCGGAAUAUUCACGGUUAACUUUCUCACCGUCCACACCGGAAUAGUUAAACACGUGAAUUACUCACCGACCUAGCUCAAGCUCACCGGAAUAGUUACAUAUAAUAACUCACCGACCGCACCGGAAUAGUUACCUGAAACUUACUCACCGCCCUGGCUUAAAACAAAACCUUCCGAUAGCACAAAUCCCAAAGAAAUCAAAUGGCAACUCGGUUAACCAAUCAACAUUGGCACACAAUUUCACAGGAGGCUCGUCAUGUACUUGCCUUAAUCCCGAUAGAGGACGGACAAUUAAUCCGCAGAUCUAUGCCCAACACCCGAAGCUUCUGGACCUGUGGGCAAAGCAAGUCUUAAAACCAACUCAUAUCCUAAAGUUCCAGUUUUUAGAGAUCCUUCUUGUCUACUUAUUAUUGGAACUGAACGUAAAGGUGCUAGUAGCAAACCACCUACUGGACUAAUCAAACGCUAAACAAACAAUACAGAGUUUUCCAUGUUUGACUUCUAGAGCAAGUACUAAAAUUCAUCCAACUAAUUAAUCAAAGCCUUUGCAGCUACUGAUACUAAUCUCCAUGCUUUGCAAUCUGCGGCUGAUUAAACAGCAGGCCAACAAGCUCAAUUUGAUUCAAUCUGCAUCUGUCCGAACAGCAGGCCCACAGCAACAGCCACUGGAAAUCAAUUUUCAAUCAGCUAACUAAGAGCAGCAGCUAGCAAGUCAUUCCAUCGGCCAAAACAAGCAGCCUGUCCAGCUCUAAUUAAUUUCGAUUCUCUGAAACUAACUGCAGCGAACUAGCAGAUUACUUCCAGGCGGCAAGGAACCAGCACAGCUCGUACCUGGCAGCAGUUCCCGACGUAGACGACGGCGAGCAGUGAGAACUGCGACCACGGCGACACCACCAGCAAGGCAGUCACGAGACAGCAGCAGAGGCGAGCUCGUGGCGGCGGCAGCGGCGAACUAACCCUAGGCGCUGGCGGCUGGGUCGGGGAAAAGAAAGGCUCGGCCUUGGGCAGUAAAACAGGGGAUUAAAACCAAGGGUCCCUGAUCCUUCUCC